rnacentral:rRNA from 1 species
CACGCUCGGAGUGCCCUCUCACAUCCAUCUCACCCCUUUGUGCAUCACCGCGUGGGGCCCUUCUCUUUCCGGAGAGGGGGGUUCACGUUUUUACAAGAACGAACCAUUAAUGCAUGUGUAGAAUGUCUUACAUUUUGCGGUCACACGCAAUCAAUACAACUUUCAACAACGGAUCUCUUGGCUCUCGCAUCGAUGAAGAACGCAGCGAAAUGCGAUACGUAAUGUGAAUUGCAGAAUUCAGUGAAUCAUCGAAUCUUUGAACGCACCUUGCACCCCUUGGUAUUCCGAGGGGUGCACCCGUUUGAGUGUCGUGAACACCCUCAACCUUCUUGGUUUAUCGACCAGGAAGGCUUGGACUUUGGACGUUGCUGGCCUCGUUCGAAGCCAGCUCCUCCUAAAUGAAUUGGUGGGGUCUGUUGUGCCGAUCCUCGACGUGAUAAGUACGCUUCUACGUCUUGGCGUUGGCCCGGAAUCCUGCUUCCAAUCGUCUUUGAAUGGAGACAAACGCUUUUAUAAACCUUGACCUCAAAUCGGGUGAGACUACCCGCUGAACUUAAGCAUAUCAAUAAGCGGAGGAAAAGAAACUAACAAGGAUUCCCCUAGUAACUGCGAGUGAAGCGGGAAAAGCUCAAA